rnacentral:rRNA from 1 species
GGGUUGUGAGGUUAAGCGACUAAGCGUACACGGUGGAUGCCCUGGCAGUCAGAGGCGAUGAAGGACGUGCUAAUCUGCGAAAAGCGUCGGUAAGGUGAUAUGAACCGUUACAGCCGGCGAUGUCCGAAUGGGGAAACCCAGUGCAAUUCGUUGCACUAUCGUUUGAUGAAUACAUAGUCAAACGAGGCGAACCGGGGGAACUGAAACAUCUAAGUACCCCGAGGAAAAGAAAUCAACCGAGAUUCCCCCAGUAGCGGCGAGCGAACGGGGAGCAGCCCGGAGUCUGAAUCAGCUUGUGUGUUAGUGGAAGCGUCUGGAAAGUCGCAGGGUACAGGGUGAUACUCCCGUACACUAAAGCACACAGGUUGUGAACUCGAAGAGUAGGGCGGGACACGUGGUAUCCUGUCUGAAUAUGGGGGGACCAUCCUCCAAGGCUAAAUACUCCUGACUGACCGAUAGUGAACCAGUACCGUGAGGGAAAGGCGAAAAGAACCCCGGCGAGGGGAGUGAAAAAGAACCUGAAACCGUGUACGUACAAGCAGUAGGAGCCC